AACAUGGACAAUCACCACCUGGAAAGUACUUAAUAAAUGGUGCAUGAUUUUGUAUUUCACGACGGGACUAAUUAUAAUGAAAAUUGCUGCCUCAUAUUGCACUAUUUUGUAUGCUAUUAGUGAGUAAAG